GAUGAGAAGCUGGACAUGAGCCAGCAGUGUGCGCUUGCAGCCCAGAAGGCCAACUAUGUUCUGGGCUGCAUAAAAAAAGGGGUGGCCAGCAGAAAGAGGGAGGUGAUUGUCCCCCUCUACUCAGCUCUUGUGAGGACCCAUCUGGAGUACUGCAUCCAGGCCUGGGGCCCCCAGUACAGGAAGGACAUGGAGCUCUUGGAGUGGAUCCAGAGGAGGGCCACUAAGAUGAUCAGAGGGCUGGAGCACCUCUCCUGUGAGGAAAGGUUGAGGGAACUGGGCUUGUUUAGUUUGGAGAAGACUCCGGAGAGACCUCAUUGUGGCCUUCCAGUACUUGAAGGGAGCAUUUAAACAGGAAGGGGAACAGCUGUUUAUGAGGGUGGAUAGUGAUAGGACAAGGGGGAAUGGUUUUAAACUGGAACAGGGGAGGUUUAGAUUGGAUAUUAGGAAGAAGUUUUUCCCAUAGAGGGUGGUGACACACUGGAACAGGUUGCCCAAGGAGGUUGUGGAUGCCCUGUUGCUGGAGGCAUUCAAGGCCAGGCUGGAGGUGGCUUUGGGCAGCCUGGUCUGGUGGUUGGCGACCCUGCACAUUGUAGGGGGGUUGAAACUCAGUGAUCACUGUGGUCCUUUUCAAUCCAGGCCAUUCUAUGGUUCUAUGAUAGAAAAGAGAAUGUUCUGAGGGGACGUUAUAGCAGCCUUCCUGUAUCUGAAGGAGCCCUACAGGAAAACUAGGAAGGCAUUUUUUUGUAAGGCCAUCUAGUGACAGGACAAGGGAAAAUGGUUCUAAACUGGAAUAGGGUAGAUUUAGACAAGAUAUUAGGAAGAAAUUCUUUACUGUGGGGAUGGUAAGACACAGGAACAGGUUGCCCAGAGAGGUUGUUGCUCCCUAGAGGCAUUCAGGGCCAGGCUGGAUGGGGCUUUCAGCAACCUGGUCUAGAGGGAGUUGUCCCUGCCUAUUGCAGGUGGGUUGGAACUAGAUGAUCUGAAA
ensembl:lncRNA